rnacentral:rRNA from 1 species
AGCGAACGCUGGCGGCAGGCCUAACACAUGCAAGUCGAACGAAGUCUUCGGACUUAGUGGCGGACGGGUGAGUAACACGUGGGAACGUGCCUUUAAGUUCGGAAUAACUCAGGGAAACUUGUGCUAAUACCGAAUGUGCCCUUCGGGGGAAAGAUUUAUCGCCUUUAGAGCGGCCCGCGUCUGAUUAGCUAGUUGGUGAGGUAAAGGCUCACCAAGGCUGCGAUCAGUAGCUGGUCUGAGAGGAUGACCAGCCACAUUGGGACUGAGACACGGCCCAAACGCCUACGGGAGGCAGCAGUGGGGAAUCUUGCGCAAUGGGCGAAAGCCUGACGCAGCCAUGCCGCGUGGAUGAUGAAGGUCUUAGGAUUGUAAAAUCCUUUCACCGGUGAAGAUAAUGACUGUAGCCGGAGAAGAAGCCCCGGCUAACUUCGUGCCAGCCGCCGCGGUAACAC